UACGAAGGGGGCUAGCGUUGUUCGGAAUUACUGGGCGUAAAGGGCGCGUAGGCGGUCUCGUAAGUCAGGCGUGAAAGGCGGGCUCAACCUGGGGACUGCGCUUGAUACUGCGGGGCUUGAAUCCGGGAGAGGAUGGCGGAAUUCCCAGUGUAGAGGUGAAAUUCGUAGAUAUUGGGAAGAACACCGGUGGCGAAGGCGGCCAUCUGGCCCGUGAUUGACGCUGAGGCGCGAAAGCGUGGGGAGCAAACAGG
rnacentral:rRNA from 1 species